AUGUCGGCGGCGCCGCAGGACGCGUGGCCGGAGGAGGCAGCGCGGUGGCACUGGACUGGCGCCGUGCCGCUCCAGGUCCACCUCCACGACGCCGACGUCACCGCGCUCCCGCCGCCCCCGCCCUUCAUGCUUUUCGGGCCAAGAAUUGGGUAUUUCCCACUCUUGGUGUCGACUAUAAAGGCUCAUUUCAGCAGCUCACUCCCACCAGGGGUUGAUACUGUUUGGUUUGAGUAUAAGGGGCUGCUGCUGAAAUGGUAUAUACCCAUUGGUGUUCUUUUCGACCUUCUUUGUGCUGAGCCAGAAAGGCCAUGGAAUCUAACAGUUCAUUUUAGGGGGUAUCCUGCAGAUAUAUUAUCACCAUGUGAAGGUGAAGAUAGUGUAAAGUGGAAUUACAACAAUUCCCUGAAAGAGGCUGCCUUCAUCAUAACUGGAAACAGUAAGAAUGUGAUGAAUAUGUCCCAGGCUGAUCAACUUGCUAUGUGGGAAUCAGUGAGGAAAAGAGACACGGAUAGUUAUAUGAAUAUCUCUACCAAGCUUAAGCUUGGACCUUUUGAAGAUCACUUCUGGACUUCCUCGUUAGAGCCUCGACAAGGUUCUGAUGAGCCUGAAUCUCCUGGAUCUGUCAAACCAUGCAGGGUACCUGUUCGAUUAUACGUGCGCAGAGUUCAAGAAGACCUUGAGUAUUUCGAAGAUGCGAUUCCUGUCAGUGAUUGGGAAAGUGUAUCCUAUAUAAAUCGGCCAUUCGAGAUCCGAAAGGAGGGAGGUAGAAGGAUAACUACCCUGGAACAUGCCUUGGAGACGUUGCUACCAGAGUUCUUUGGCUCGAAGCCCACAGCUAGAGCUGCUGAUCCUGAACCUGCGUCCACGACGCCAGACUCUGCACCCGACGAUUCAGAUACCACUCAAGGGACUCCUCGCGACAGAGAAGCAGCUUUGGCGAGUCCGCAGGAGAUGGAUGUGGCCAAGAAGGCCAGAGUGAAGCUGGUGAGGAUACAAGGCAUGGAGCUCGGCCUGGAUACGCCGUUCCUCUGGGUGGCCAACAACCUGAGGAACCCCGAAUGCUUCCUCCAUGUCUGUGUAUACAUUGGCGCAUGA
rnacentral:rRNA from 1 species